rnacentral:rRNA from 1 species
ACACGUGGGUGAUCUGCCCUGCACUUUGGGAUANGCCUGGGAAACUGGNGUCUAAUACCGAAUAGGACCGCGCUCUUCAUGGGGUGUGGUGGAAAGCUUUUGCGGUGUGGGAUGGGCCCGCGGCCUAUCAGCUUGUUGGUGGGGUAAUGGCCUACCAAGGCGACGACGGGUAGCCGGCCUGAGAGGGUGACCGGCCACACUGGGACUGAGAUACGGCCCAGACUCCUACGGGAGGCAGCAGUGGGGAAUAUUGCACAAUGGGCGCAAGCCUGAUGCAGCGACGCCGCGUGAGGGAUGACGGCCUUCGGGUUGUAAACCUCUUUCAAUAGGGACGAAGCGCAAGUGACGGUACCUAUAGAAGAAGGACCGGCCAACUACGUGCCAGCAGCCGCGGUAAUACGUAGGGUCCGAGCGUUGUCCGGAAUUACUGGGCGUAAAGAGCUCGUAGGUGGUUUGUCGCGUUGUUCGUGAAAACUCACAGCUUAACUGUGGGCGUGCGGGCGAUACGGGCAGACUAGAGUACUGCAGGGGAGACUGGAAUUCCUGGUGUAGCGGUGGAAUGCGCAGAUAUCAGGAGGAACACCGGUGGCGAAGGCGGGUCUCUGGGCAGUAACUGACGCUGAGGAGCGAAAGCGUGGGGAGCGAACAGGAUUAGAUACCCUGGUAGUCCACGCCGUAAACGGUGGGUACUAGGUGUGGGUUUCCUUCCUUGGGAUCCGUGCCGUAGCUAACGCAUUAAGUACCCCGCCUGGGGGAGUACGGCCGCAAGGCUAAAACUCAAAAGGAAUUGACGGGGGGCCCGCACAA